rnacentral:rRNA from 1 species
UAAAGCUUCAAACUGGGAUUAGAUACCCCACUAUUCUUGAUUGUAAAUAGAAUUAAAUUUACCAGAGUACUAUGAAUAGUUAAAAAUUUAAAACUCAAAGGGCUUGGCGGUGUUUUAGACCUAUCAGGGGAACCUGUCUCGUAAUCGACAAUCCACGCAAUAUCUAACCCGACUUUGUAAUCAGUUUGUAUACCGUCGUCGUCAGGUAACUUUUAAAAAUAUAGAAGUUAGCAAUUAAAACUUAUUAGUUAAAACGUCAGAUCAAGGUGCAGCCUAUAGUAGGGAGAGGAUGGGUUACAGUUAUAAAAAUUAUAAUUACGGAAACUUAAAUGGAACUUAUUUUGAAGGAGGACUUGAAAGUAAACUAAAAUACAUAAAUAGUUUGAAUGAGGCUCUGAAACGUGCACACACCGCCCGUCACCCUCUGCAGUCAA